rnacentral:rRNA from 1 species
UACGUAGGGGGCGAGCGUUGUCCGGAUUUAUUGGGCGUAAAGAGCGUGUAGGCGGCCAGGUAGGUCUGCUGUGAAAACUCGAGGCUCAACCUCGAGACGUCGGCGGAAACCAUCUGGCUAGAGUCCGGAAGAGGAGAGUGGAAUUCCUGGUGUAGCGGUGAAAUGCGCAGAUAUCAGGAGGAACACCAAUGGCGAAGGCAGCUCGCUGGGACGGUACUGACGCUGAGACGCGAAAGCGUGGGGAGCAAACAGG